rnacentral:rRNA from 1 species
UACGUAGGGGGCAAGCGUUGUCCGGAAUCAUUGGGCGUAAAGAGCGUGUAGGCGGUUCGGUAAGUCGGCUGUGAAAGUCCAGGGCUCAACCCUGGGAUGCCGGUCGAUACUGCCGGACUAGAGUUCGGAAGAGGCGAGUGGAAUUCCCGGUGUAGCGGUGAAAUGCGCAGAUAUCGAGGAGGAACACCAAUGGCGAAGGCAGCUCGCUGGGACGUGACUGACGCUG